rnacentral:rRNA from 1 species
CCUACGGGUGGCAGCAGUGAGGAAUAUUGGUCAAUGGACGAGAGUCUGAACCAGCCAAGUAGCGUGAAGGAUGACUGCCCUAUGGGUUGUAAACUUCUUUUAUAUGGGAAUAAAAUGUUCCACGUGUGGGAUUUUGUAUGUACCAUAUGAAUAAGGAUCGGCUAACUCCGUGCCAGCAGCCGCGGUAAUACGGAGGAUCCGAGCGUUAUCCGGAUUUAUUGGGUUUAAAGGGAGCGUAGGUGGAUUGUUAAGUCAGUUGUGAAAGUUUGCGGCUCAACCGUAAAAUUGCAGUUGAAACUGGCAGUCUUGAGUACAGUAGAGGUGGGCGGAAUGCGUGGUGUAGCGGUGAAAUGCUUAGAUAUCACGAAGAACUCCGAUUGCGAAGGCAGUUCACUGGACUGCAACUGACACUGAGGCACGAAAGUGUGGGUAUCAAACAGGAUUAGAUACCCCUGUAGUC